UUAAAUUGAAGAGUUUGAUCAUGGCUCAGAUUGAACGCUGGCGGCAGGCCUAACACAUGCAAGUCGAACGGUAACAGAAAAGCAGCUUGCU
rnacentral:rRNA from 1 species